rnacentral:lncRNA from 1 species
AAAAAUGCAUAUAUGAUCAAGCUUGAGAUUGGACCGGAUGCUGUACGUAACAAGUAAUCCUUUUGCCAUGACUUAUUAUGCAUGGUUGAAGCCUAAUUCUAACAUGACCUAUCCACGUCAUGAUUAGCCCGCAGUGGUAUAGAAUUUAGAAUCAGCUCAUAUCCGUGGCGGCCUAACGUACACGCGAGCACCCAUUUUCCAUCUAUAGCAGGCAAAAUUUUC